rnacentral:rRNA from 1 species
UCCUACGGGACGCAGCAGUAGGGAAUCUUCCGCAAUGGACGCAAGUCUGACGGAGCAACGCCGCGUGUGUGAAGAAGGUUUUCGGAUCGUAAAGCACUGUUGUUAGAGAAGAACGGCUACUAGAGGAAAUGCUAGUAGAUUGACGGUAUCUAACCAGAAAGCCACGGCUAACUACGUGCCAGCAGCCGCGGUAAUACGUAGGUGGCAAGCGUUGUCCGGAUUUAUUGGGCGUAAAGGGAGCGCAGGUGGAUUCUUAAGUCUGAUGUGAAAGCCCACGGCUUAACCGUGGAGGGUCAUUGGAAACU